rnacentral:rRNA from 1 species
AACGCGAAGAACCUUACCUAGGCUUGACAUACCGUGAAAAGUGUAGAGAUGCAUAAUAGUCGCAAGACACACGGAUACAGGUGCUGCAUGGCUGUCGUCAGCUCGUGUCGUGAGAUGUUGGGUUAAGUCCCGCAACGAGCGCAACCCUUUCCCUUAUUUGCCAUCAUUAAGUUGGGAACUAUAGGGGUACUGCCGAUGAUAAAUCGGAGGAAGGUGGGGAUGACGUCAAGUCCUCAUGGCCCUUACGUCUAGGGCUACACACGUACUACAAUGGCCAAGACAAAGCGAAGCUAAACCGAGAGGUGGAGCCAAACGCAAAAACAUGGUCUCAGUUCGGAUUGUGGUCUGCAACUCGACCACAUGAAGUUGGAAUCUCUAGUAAUCGCAGAUCAGCAGGCUGCGGUGAAUACGUUCCCGGGCCUUGUACACACCGAUAGC